rnacentral:rRNA from 1 species
GCAAGGUGAGUAAGGCGACGGUAACCAACCCCAUGAUUGGGUAUAGCCGCGGGAAACUGCGGGUAAUCCCCAGCGACGUCACGCGGAGCAUCUCCGGUGACAAAGCCCGGCGUCGGUGGACGGCUGUCGUGGUAUUAGCUUGUUGGCGGGUAACGGGCCCACCAAGGUUCUGAUGCCUACCGGGCGUGCGAGCGUGGCCCGGCACACUGGGACUGAGACACUGCCCAGACUCCUACGGGAGGCUGCAGUCGAGAAUCUUCGGCAAUGGGCGCAAGCCUGACCGAGCGACGCCGCGUGGAGGACGAAGGCCUUCGGGUUGUAAACUCCUGUCGAGGGGGAAGAAGGGGUGUCAAAGCCCUUGACUGAUCCCUGGAGGAAGCACGGGCUAAGUUCGUGCCAGCAGCCGCGGUAAGACGAACCGUGCGAACGUUAUUCGGAAUCACUGGGCUUAAAGCGCGUGUAGGCGGGUCGGCACGUCGGCCGUUGAAAUCCCCCGGCUCAACCGGGGAAGCGGCGCCGAUACGGCCGGCCUCGAGGGACGUAGGGGGGGCUGGAACUUCCGGUGGAGCGGUGAAAUGCGUUGAGAUCGGAAGGAACGCCC